rnacentral:rRNA from 1 species
UACGAAGGGGGCUAGCGUUGCUCGGAAUCACUGGGCGUAAAGCGCACGUAGGCGGACUCUUAAGUCGGUGGUGAAAUCCUGGAGCUCAACUCCAGAACUGCCUUCGAUACCGGGAGUCUCGAGUCCGAGAGAGGUGAGUGGAACUGCGAGUGUAGAGGUGAAAUUCGUAGAUAUUCGCAAGAACACCAGUGGCGAAGGCGGCUCACUGGCUCGGUACUGACGCUGAGGUGCGAAAGCGUGGGGAGCAAACAGG